rnacentral:misc_RNA from 1 species
UGUGGGAGGGGGCUUGCCCCCGAUUGCGGAGUGUCAGUUUGCAUUUUUGUUUCUGAUCUACCGCUAUCGGGGGCAAGCCCCCUCCCACA